GGGAAACUGAGGAAUUUGAUGGGAAUGGGGUUUUUGGCGAAGAAGUUACUGAAUUGGGGCUAGCUGAGCCUAUGAGGGUGGAGGAUCGCGGUGCUGAGGAGCCGAUAUUGGAUGUGGGCUUCGAUGCGGAGCAGCGGAGAGUAGCAAUUGGGAGGGUUGAGGAAAUUGUGGAUGCCGAGAGGACGGAAGAUGGCGGUGAAUUGGCGGUGGGCAGUGAAUUGGCGGUGGGAGCGGGUGAGGGGGAUGCGAUUUCGGGUUGUGAGGGGGCAAAGGGAGUGUCGGUUUGGUUGAAGAUGCCGCUUGAGCUGCUGAAGAUGUGUGUUUUGAAGGUGAGGCCUGUUUGGUCUAUCUCUAUUGCUGCAGGUAUUAUAGGGAUGCUGAUGCUGGGGAGGAGAUUGUACAAGAUGAAGGGCAAGAAUCGGGGGAUCCCACUGAGGAUCAGCUUGGAUGAUAAGAAGGCAUCCCAACUCGUAGUCCGUGCUGGCCGUUUGAGCGAAAGCUUCUCAGCAGUGAGGCGUGUGCCCUUUGUCAGAUU
rnacentral:misc_RNA from 1 species